GGUGCAGUGGCCAAGUGGGAAGGCGUCGGUCUUGUAAACCGAAGAUCAUGGGUUCGACCCCCAUCUGUGCCU